CCUACGGGAGGCAGCAGUGGGGAAUAUUGCACAAUGGGCGAAAGCCUGAUGCAGCAACGCCGCGUGAGGGACGACGGCCUUCGGGUUGUAAACCUCUUUUAGUAGGGAAGAAGCGAAAGUGACGGUACCUGCAGAAAAAGCACCGGCUAACUACGUGCCAGCAGCCGCGGUAAUACGUAGGGUGCAAGCGUUAUCCGGAAUUAUUGGGCGUAAAGAGCUCGUAGGCGGUUUGUCGCGUCUGCUGUGAAAACUGGGGGCUCAACCCCCAGCCUGCAGUGGGUACGGGCAGACUAGAGUGCGGUAGGGGAGAUUGGAAUUCCUGGUGUAGCGGUGGAAUGCGCAGAUAUCAGGAGGAACACCGAUGGCGAAGGCAGAUCUCUGGGCCGUAACUGACGCUGAGGAGCGAAAGCAUGGGGAGCGAACAGGAUUAGAUACCCUGGUAGUCCAUGCCGUAAACGUUGGGAACUAGAUGUAGGGACCAUUCCACGGUUUCUGUGUCGCNGCUACGACAUACGUUACCCGUCCGUCGGUACGGUACGGCCGCGACGACGUAACGUACGAACGAAGUAGUACGGCGUGAGACGUGCGACGACGACGACGAGGAGGUAGG
rnacentral:rRNA from 1 species